rnacentral:rRNA from 1 species
GGUGAACGCUGGCGGCGUGCUUAAGACAUGCAAGUCGAACGAUCGUCUUCGGACGGUAGUGGCGCACGGGUGAGUAACGCGUAACUGACCUACCCCAAAGUCGCGGAUAACUGGUCGAAAGAUCAGCUAAUACGUGAUGUGCUGUCCCCUCGUGUGGGGCCAGUAAAGACUGGAUCGCUUUGGGAUGGGGUUGCGUUCCA